GUCUCUAUUCUCACGCAGACGUCUUCAGUGGGUUUCUCUCAGUCAAAUACAAAUCAUAAAAAACAAACAAAAAAUUUCCCCAAAUCCAACAACAGGCAGGAAAAAUAAUUUUAAUAAAAAAGGAAAAGACAAAUUGCCGCCCCAAUCCUCCGGCGUCCGCCGUGUCAAGGGAAAGGCGCGAGCGUGCGGUAACGCGUGGUCGGGCUGCUGCUAGCAGUACUGGAAAGGCGUUCUAAGGCGGCGGCGUCGCGCGGCUGUGGAGCAGCCCUGCGAGCGGCGGACCUGCUUUCACUCUUCAAAACUAGCCGGAGGUCGGCGAGCAGCUCCUUUUCGGGAUGUGCUUUUUGUACGGCCAUGGAAACUGGACUAGCGGAAAGGCUACCUUUUGGCCAGCAAGCCAGGCCCCUUAGAAAGAGGCCCCAGUGGGGAGCCCGGCGCUCCUAAGGCCGUUUGGGAGUCCCCAGUUUUCCACUCGCUGACACGUUGCUUCUCUUAUCCCACCACCGCCGCCCCGGGCAAAGGCACUGCCUUGUCUGAAUGCGGGUCUGAGGCGCUUUCUGCGGAGCCUGGUCCUUUCCCUUCAAUGGUGAUGUGUGUGGUCUUGCUGAGCCAGGCAACUAGGGGGACCCUUCGCUGUGGAAAAAUUGGUGCUGCGGGAAAGGCAAGACUCACUCCCUUGCAGGAAACAAAGACCCCUUAGGAGAGAGAAAUGUUCAUGGAAUGAAUGAAUAAACAAGUUUG
rnacentral:lncRNA from 1 species